AUUGAACGCUGGCGGCAUGCUUUACACAUGCAAGUCGGACGGCAGCACAGAGAAGCUUGCUUCUUGGGUGGCGAGUGGAGAACGGGGGAGCAAUAGAGCGGAACGUACGGAGUAAUGGGGGAUAACUAAUCGAAAGAUUAGCUAAUACCGCAUAUUAUCAGAGGAGGAAAGCAGGGGACCUUCGGGCCUUGCGAUAUUCGAGCGGCCGAUAACUGAUUAGCUAGUGGGUGGGGUCAAGGCCGACCAAGGCGACGAUCAGUAGGUGGCCGGAGAGGAGGAGGCGCCCCACUGGGACUGAGACACGGCCCCGACUCCUACGGGAGGCAGCAGUGGGGACUUUUGGAGAAUGGGCGCAAGCCUGAUCCAGCCAUGCCGCGUGUCUGAAGAAGGCCUUCGGGUUGUAAAGUACUUUUGUCAGGGAAGAAAAGGCUGUUGCUAAUACCGACAGCUGAUGACGGUACCUGAAGAAUAAGCACCGGCUAACUACGUG
rnacentral:rRNA from 1 species